CCAUAUCUCCCUGAACAUGCCCGAUCUCAUCUGAUCUCUGAAGCUAAACAGGGUAGGGCCUGGUUAGUACUUGGAUGGGAGAGAGGGGGAGGGGCAAGGGG
rnacentral:rRNA from 1 species